GACGAACGCUGGCGGCGUGCUUAACACAUGCAAGUCGAACGGAAAGGCCCUGCUUUUGUGGGGUGCUCGAGUGGCGAACGGGUGAGUAACACGUGAGUAACCUGCCCUUGACUUUGGGAUAACUUUAGGAAACUGGGGCUAAUACAGGAUAGGAGCUCCUGCUGCACGGUGGGGGUUGGAAAGUGUCGGCGGUUGGGGAUGGACUCGCGGCUUAUCAGCUUGUUGGUGGGGUAGUGGCUUACCAAGGCUUUGACGGGUAGCCGGCCUGAGAGGGUGACCGGCCACAUUGGGACUGAGAUACGGCCCAGACUCCUACGGGAGGCAGCAGUGGGGAAUAUUGCACAAUGGGCGGAAGCCUGAGGCAGCAACGCCGCGUGCGGGAUGACGGCCUUCGGGUUGUAAACCGCUUUCGCCUGUGACGAAGCGUGAGUGACGGUAAUGGGUAAAGAAGCACCGGCUAACUACGUG
rnacentral:rRNA from 1 species